rnacentral:misc_RNA from 1 species
AAAAUCUUUAUCUGCCACAUUUUAAAACACCAAACCAAUAUGUGUCUAUAAAGCGAGCUGAAAAAGUUGUUCUUCAAUUAAAUGCCGUUGACAGAGACAGCAAGAAAUGUGAAGAUAUUAAAAAAUGUCGAUGUGCUCAAGUUGUUUACAAGCUCAGUGAAAAUCCAUUUUUUAGUUUACUGGAUGAUAAAAUUAUUGUGAAAGAUAUUUCUAGUUUUCCUCUGCUUACUUAUUACCUUGAAGUUGUUGCAUUCAAUUUUCCAAGAUUUCGAAACCAUACGAUUAAUAGUUUGUCUAGUAAGCAAAGAAUUUUCAUUAGUGUUGUUGAUGAAGUUGAUCAAAUAAAACAGACAAGACUCCGUAGAUCUACAAAUAAUGAGAAUCAUGCUCCAGUUGCUGGCAGUAUUAGUUUAGCUGCUGUUCCCUAUCUUUCCAGCACUUAUUACUUUAACAUAGGAGACCUAAUAACUUUUCGUCUGUCUGCUACAUUUAAUGCUUCAUAUAAUAUUUCCAACAUUAAUAAUCUUCGUGUAUCUGUUAGCAGCCAAUGGUUAGAAUUGCAAGAUCCAGUGGCAUUGAGUUUUACAUCAGCUGAUAAAGAUAAGGAUAGUUAUAUAUUUUCAUUGCAGUAUUUUUCUUCUGGCACCCUUUAUGGAAACAUAACAGGAAGAGUUAAGGAAAGUAUUGAACCUUUGAGUAGUUUAUUUUUGAAUCUAAAUGCUUUGUACAAUAAUCCUGAUGGAAAAUUAUUAUCGUCUCCAGUUUAUGAGUCACAUCCUGUUGUUUAUGGAGUUUUUCCAUUUGUGAAUCUUAUAAGGAACCAGUCUGGAAUAAUUAAAGUAUAUAGUGGAGUGCAGUUCAACAUGAACAUUUUGGUUCCACUACUUAACUUCACUUUGCUAGCAGAAAUAACAACAAACAUAGAAGAUUUUGUGUUUAUGAGCGUUUCUAAUGUUAAGCUAAGUACUGGUUUAAAUAUCAGGUAUAAUGGUAGUAGCAGUUUUGAUUUUUAUUCAUCCCAAGGCGAUUUGAAGUAUGAUAGAGCUUCAUUGGAUCUUGGUCUUAUUACGGUUUCCAGAAGCAGCUCUGCUAUUGAUAGAAUAAUCAACAUUAGUUUUUUACUAAAUGUUGAUGAUCAUUUAAAUAUUGUAAACGGUAGCACUCAUUUUUUGGGAAUUGGCAUUCAAACAGGAGCUAAUGUAUUGUGGGUAGAGCAACAAAGUAUUCAGAUUUUUAAGGUGGAGCCUGUACUAAAUGCACAGCUGAAAGUAAACUUUACAAAUAGUACUUAUGUUUAUAUUAAUGAUGUUUUAAAUAUAUCCUAUGAAAUUUUUCACACUUUAUCAUCAUUGAGUACUGCUCAUGAUAUUAAAGUUACUCUUUUGGUUCAACAUUUAUCUGCUGUAUCUGGACUAGUUAAGCAAAAUGAGACUUGUUAUACUGUACUUUUAAGUUCAACUAUAUUAUCAAUUGUUGACUCAUCUGUGGCAGGAAGUUUUUUAAUGAAAGCAACUAGCGAUAUUACUCCAAUGGUUAACUUUUCUAUAAGUAUGAUAGUUAAUUACAAAAAUGCCGGAGGUAUGCAAAAACCAAAAAUUAUAAAGUUUAUUAACUUAUUUACUGGAUCACCAUUAAUACAUUAUGAUUAUUUGUCUCCAAAAGUCACCUCAAGUUAUCUUUGUACUUUUGUGGUUGUAGUAUUGCUUAAUAAGCUCAAAUCAGAUUUGUUUUUUAAGUUUGAAAUUUCGAAGACAAAUUUUCCAGUUCUCAGUAUUCAUAAUGUGCGACUUGAAAGUGUUGGUUCAAAUAUCAUGGGAGUUAACAAAAAUGCUACACCUACAUAUAUAAGCAAUGUUAACAAAUUAUUUUUUGAUGUUGCUUUUUUUGAUCUUGGAACUGCUUUAAACACAAAUGAAAAAACAGAUAAUGUGCCAGAUAAUCAAAUUGUAAUCAAAUUUGAUACUAUUGCAAGUGAACAACUUAUUUCUUCAAAUGACAUAGAAUUAUGGGUAACGGCCAGUAUGAGACAUAAUGCAAUUGAAAUUUGGAAUCAAAAACUACCAGCAAACAAAUAUGUAAUAAAAAGUCUUAAACCUCACUUAAAAGUUUCUUUUAAAGCACUAUUUGAUGGAAGUACAUUAAAUGUUUCUCUUGGUAUUAGACAUUUAAAUGAUUCAACUCAGAGUGCACAAAAUGUUACAUUCGAAUAUUUUCUUCCACCUUUUUUUAUUUUUGACGCAGAAAAUCAAUUAAGUUACAUUCAGAGAACAAAUUUUUUAAAAUACAAGUUUAUGAAGGCAUUCACAUUUUCUGAUACCAUUAUUCACAGCUUCAAUGCUAAGCUUGAUGGUUUAAAAAUUUCAUCAUCUGAAUAUUUCGAUCUCCAGAUAUCUGUCAAAAUCACUUUUUUAAACUCUGCUGGUCAAAAAUGGAGUCAAUUUAAAACCUAUCAGCAAAAAAUAUUUGUUGGGCAUUAUCAAGGUUUAAUUCCAAAAGAUGAUAGGUCCCUAUCAGCUAUGGGCGUGGCAUUUAUUGGGAUGCAAGUAAUUCCCAUAUUUAUGUUUGCAUGAAUGACCAUGUUGUCAGUUCAAAGCCUGCUUGCUAUUUUUCAAAGAACAAAGGCGAAAAAUGGAUUGCUUUAGAUAUUACUAUAGGAUGUGUACUUGGUCAUCAUAAUUCAACUAAUGAGUUAUGUGCUAUCCAUCGUAACCAAAAAACCUAUUUAAAAUUUCAUAAAAUGCAUGAAAAGUGGCUUGCAUUAACUAAUGAAGAUUUUAAUGAAAAUGUUGCAAGAAAUCUUAAUAAAAGUCUACUAAAGAAAAUUAA